UUACUGCAGGGUAAUGGCUCACAAGCUUGCAGAGGUCCCUCUGGGCUUUUGGUGUGCUAUCGGUCUAUCUAUGAUAAAAGCAGACAGCUUCCACAAAAUGUCUCUAAAUUCAGCAUCUUCCACCUCCGACACUUUAAGACAUCAGCAGUCUUUAAUAAUGAAGUGCUAACAGUAAAUACGCCGCCCUUUGCAGAGUCUGUCACAGAGGGCGAUGUCAGGUGGGAAAAAGCCGUUGGUGAUGCAGUAAGUGAAGAUGAGGUGGUAUGUGAAAUUGAAACCGAUAAGGUUCGUAAUGUUUCUGACCAGCUAAUUUUGUUUCCUUUUUAGUUUCUGAACUGAUUGUGGUUGACGUGAUAAACAGCCUCCUGUAUAACUGCUGGUAUUUAAAUGAUAGAUGUUCCCAGGAUAUCCCAGCCCCAUUAUAUUUUCCUUCCAUGUGGCACUGUGUUACUCCGAUGUUGAUAGCCACUGUUUGAAAAUUAUGAUGAGAUGACACUUGCCCACUCUGUACAGUUCCUACCACCCCCAGAAAUAUCAAGGUGAAUGUCUGUGAUACCAGAAACACCUGUCCCCUGAACUAUUGCUUUCUUAAUCUCAUAUAGCCCAUCUGUACAGCUGAGUCAGCUGUGGUGCUGCACAAUUGGCUCUCGCAGCACUUCCAGAUCAAUCAUCACUCACUAGUAUUAAAAACUGAAUACUAGUUGGAAAGUGAGAUGCACUCUGAGGUCUUGAGCA